GGAGCCCAAGUCUCUGCACCGGAUUCCGGAGCACAAGCUCCACUGCGCAUGCGCACACGCCCUAGACCCAGGCUCAGGAGGACUGAGAAUUUUCUGACGGCAGUGCACCAUGGGAAGCUCUGAAGUUUCCGUAAUUCCUGGGCUCCAGAAAGAAGAAAAGGCGGCCGUGGAGAGACGAAGACUUCAUGUGCUGAAAGCUCUGAAGAAGCUAAGGAUUGAGGCUGAUGAGGGCAAUAUCUUCUCUCUACACCAACGACGGUGACAUGGAAGCUCUCGAGGCUGACCUGAAACAUCGAUUUACCCGACAGGAGUGGGACU
rnacentral:sRNA from 1 species